GUAUUCCCCUCUGAGAGUGCUGAACUACAGCAUUAAAUUUUCUCUUUCUUUCUCUCUCUCUUUUCAAACAGCACCAAGAAGACGGAAUGCAUAGGCAGCUAUUAGAAAAGCACUGUUAGUGCCCAAGUCAGGAAAUGCAGCUGUUAAAUCCCGAGCCAUACUGGAGCAGAGGUAUUUCAGAUGAAGCUGCCUUACAUCCCUUAACCCUUCCUCCUCUGGGAGAGAUGGAAAUUCUACUGGGAAGCCCUGGCAGGGCUUAGCACUGUCAGCACAUGAGCUCCCUGGCUGCCACCUCCUUAUUGGGCUGGAGGCACACUGAGGCUGGCAGCUGGCAAAAAAAAAAAAAAGAAGAAGAAAAAAACAAACCACAGGAAUCCCACUCCUGAGGAAUCUGGUCAUUUCAAGGUUCCCCUAUAGAUUCACAGGUUUUAAAGGCCGGGAGGGACAAUUACAUUCUGACAAGUACAUUCUGGUGCAACACAGUCCAUUGAAUUUCUCUGAGUGUUGCUGGUGCUCAGGCAGAUGAAAUGAGUUUGUACUCCUUAGUGUGCUCUCCUUAGCUCGUCUCUCAGACAUCCCCCCUUACCGCUUAUUGUCUCCUAUUCAACACAGCAUGUGUGCAUGGGUGUGUUCUCAGGUUUUCCUGAAGCAGCACCCCAACAGCAGCACACAUCUCCUGCAGCUGCCCCUGUUCCAUGCCCAGAGGUGUCUACAACUCUGAGUAUCCCAACUAUCACAGCUAUGAGGGAUGUGGUGCUCCCCAAACUGUUUUCAUUGCAGCUUGCCUUGUGUUACAGUGCAGGGAGCAGGCAGAGCGCAGGAAUCCUCCCCCAAGCCUGGAGAUGGCAGAGCAGAAACAAUGCCUAAAGGAGGGCUGACGCUUGCUGUACAACUGACCUGAAGUGCAUAACUUGUUGGAAGUCAAUAUGCAACAAGUGAGGAUCUGCACCCCUACCAAUUGGAAAGUGCCAGAGCACCUCCAGUUUUACCUGAAAUCUUCAAAUGUGUGUUGUCACCAUAUCAGAGCCUCACCUCUCAGCCAAGCAGCUGUUAUUCCUUUUUUUGGUCUGUUUAUUUACUUGCCUACUCGUUUAGAGCAAAUGUCUUCUAGCUGUUCUAGCUGGGCAGCAAAGCUUGAAGACUCAGGGAGCAAAUAAAAGGAACUCCAACUCUAUUAUUUAAAAAGAAAACAAAAUACAUCUUAUGAUCUGCUAAGCGUGUCUCCCUGUCUGCAGCAGGCCUGGCUGGUGCUUCUGGACUGAUUGGUUGGCAGUGCUGCCAUUUCUAACAGCUUUGCAGCCUUCCCACAGGAGUGGUACGGUGGUUGAUAUGUCUCAGGCUGUGUUUCAGCCUGCUGCUGCCUUUAAAAUGGUUGAAAGUCCUUAGCAUAGGGAGCAGAGGUGCCUAAAAAUACCCUCCGUGUUGUGCCCUCUUUUCCACAGCUGCAAUUCACUCCCCAUUAUAAACAAUGUGAUAACUUAAUUCUGAUGGGUCGACUACGGUGCUUUAGUGUGCUAUAAAACACAAAUUUAGGCAGCGCAUAAAAUAAGCUUUUCCUGCCAUAUGACACAAACCACAACUGUCUGGCAUGGACACACAAGCCAGAAUCUGAAAGAAAGCAAAGCACAAAGCCAGACGCGAUCUUUGAUCAUAUGUUGUUUAAAAUUAACAGCACAGAUCAUAACCACACUUAAAUAACACAUCUGUCUGGGGGGUUAGAUAGUACCGCACAAUAUGUUCUUUUAAUUCAUUAUGCAUUUGAAUCCCUCCCAAGUAACAGGUGGUUUUCUGACAACACGGUGUGCCAAAAAAUGCUGGAGAAAGGGCUGGCUGAUUGUUAUCCUUGGAGGUGAGGAAGCACAGGUUCCUGGAGAGCAGUGAGCUCUGGUUCCCUUAACUCUUUUGCUGCUGGCUCUCCAUCAACUCCUGCAGUAAUUACUGCCCUGCCUGAAUUGUAGCACCUGCCUUCACCUCUCUGGGUUUGCUCUCCAGCUCUUAGACUGUACUGUGGGGCAGAAGCUGUGUCUCAAGACAGGGCAGUAACGGGAGCGUGGCUGGAGCUGUGCUUCCGGAGAUGGGAACCUGCUGCCCAAGGGAUUCUGGAUCACGUUCCAGUGGUGGGACUGAAUGAGCAUGCUCUUCUUCAGAGCAGGUGUCUAACAACCUUAGAGACCCUUUAUGACCACCUGGAAGGAAAUGGCACCUUGAGAGGAGGAAUCCUCCCAGGCCAUAACUAUCCAUCUCAAACAUGACUUGUUUGUCCCCAUGAACUGUGAAGUGAGUGAUGAGCUCAGAUGUUCAUGUUCACACUGCAGACAGGUUUUAGAAGGGUGUGUCCCACCCAAGCUGUUCAUAUACUGCUCAGGGCUGUGUCAACAGAGUCCUGCAUUGCCCCCUGCCCAGAGCAUGAUUUAAGGGCAUGUGGACAAGAGGCUGGGUUCCCCUGCCCCUGCCCCCCACAUGGCGUUCCACUGAACAGUGACCAUCACACGUGGAGAAGAGACUGCACAGAUGAGCCAGCCAUAGCAUGAGGCAUGGACAUGAUUAAUGGCACCUCAUUACACCUGACAGCAACUGCUAAACCUUACGAAAUUAGUCACAUCUUUUAAAAAUCUAGCUGCAGUGUCUGGAGCCCUGUACUGAUGAAUUCCCAGGCUGGCUGCACACUGUGGCCUUGCUUGGGCUGCCAAGGUAGAGCCCAGCUGAAUGGAGAAGGAAGGACUUGUGAGAAGAAUCCUGUCUUCAAUCCUUGCCCAGUGAGGUGAGCUCAGUGCUGACAGCAGAGAUGUGCGUUUCCUGAUGUCCUCACAUUAUAACAAUCAUUCAUUUUGACCUAUUCCUUGUACAAGCUGCUCCCGGAGGUGGGGGAAGCAAGGACAUGACUUCCUUUGGGCUUUGCUCAUUUUUCACCAAAUAAACUCACCAGAGGGUGAUGGAAAGCCUUUCCCUCCCUCUUGAUCCCUCCAAGGAUCAAGACUUUUGAUCCUUGUGCCCUGGGACCAGGGGAAUUGCUUCCUCUGGGUGCCUGACACAGGUUCCACCUCACCUAGUUGGACCUGCUGCAGAACAGCCAGGCUCUGUGACCUGGGAGCUGGGCAGAGCUGCUCGAGCUGCAGGCUUUCCUGCAUCUAAUGGCACAUCAGCCCUCGGGUCCUCCUGGGUCACUUAUCACAUGCUGUCUGGGCUGAGGUCUGCCCAGAACAGAUUUCCAGCUCAGUGGCCAUAGCUACUGAGAUGAGGUUCAGUAAAACAAACUUCUCAGACACAUGUUGUGAGGUUAAAGUGAGCCUAUGGAGGCACAGGAAGUUCUGGAGAGCUGCAAUGUGAUUCGACCCUGGCUGCUCCGCUAAUCGCAGGGGGACUUUGGGAAAAGCCUGGCCCUGAGCUGACGGGACCACCUGAGCCUGCAGAAACAGAUGGGAGAAGGGUGCAGCUAGCAGUGCUGUCUAACCACAAAAGUCGGUUUUCUCACUGCUUGCAAAUUAGACUUUCUAAGAACAGCACCUGUGCAAAGCUCAGAUAAACAGCAUCAGUGCUGGCGUGGCGAAGCGGUGGGACCUUCCCUCUCAGCCCCGCACCCCGGAUGGAGGGGUUGCCCCAUGGCUCACACCUCCAGCCGCAGGAGGAAGUAAUUCCCCAGUGCUUGGCAAGGAAGUGACACUUCACACCUAAACGUGAGGAGUACAUGAGUUCAGGGCCAUGGGGAGGCCAGGGGAAGAGCAGCAAGGCUGUGGCCCUGGUGCAGGGUGCAGGAUGAGAGGCCGGGUGGUUGGGGAGGGCUGUCUGGGCAGUGGGUGAGGACCUCUAGAGCGGAAAACCAACAAGCGGAUGAUGUCCUCGUCCCAUGAAAGCCCGGGUUUCAUGUUUGUCCCCUGGGUGGCAGAGCCCAGCUGUCAGCCAGCGUUCAGGGGGGAUGAAGCCGUGUGUUUACAUGAGCGGUCAUGUGGUAACCUCUUCCAGCUCGUGGGCAACUCACAGGGUUACCUCAUCGGCAGCCAGAUUACCUCAUCACUGUGAAAUGUGGCAAGUGCAAGGCAGGAGCAGGGCAGGCAGCCCUCUGGGGUAUGGCUCCCUCGUUAGUGAGCUGUGGAGGAGCUGGCCUUCCUGGCUGCGCAGGAAGCAAACUGGAUAUCUGUUAGUGUUGUAAUUAUCUCAACGCAAGAGGUUCCACAUAAAUCAGCUGUGUGGCAUGGGGGGUGUGUGUGGGGUUUCCGCCAGCCCCGUGCUGUGAGGUGCAUGCCCUGUGGCCUGCUCUUUGUGGGGUCUGUGUGAGGAGCAUUGGGCUGCUGGGCUCUGACCCUCCUCCCAGAGCUGCGGUGCAUCUUCUGGCUUAAGCGUAUUUCAUGACCUGCAUUGCUCUGCUUCACCUUUACAAAAGCAAAGCAACAAACAAUACAUGUAUAAGUAAAAAGCCUCAUGUGAUGCCUAGGAAUAUAUAAUGCAUUAUCGGUGCCAUAGGCGGCGGAGUUUAUUAGCCCCUGUCAGGCUAUUCACAAUGUAAAGGACAUACUGACCUAGAAUGAUCUCUUCCUUCCAAUCAGCAUUUACACUGUAACAGGAGGAGAGCCAGCAUUUGUGCAUUUGUAAGGUUAACCCUUUGGGCUACCCUUGCAGAUAUUUACCCUAGGAUUUUAUUUACAAUCCCAACCCUGGCAGGCUGUAUUUAUCUCUAAUCAACACUUUUAUUAAUCAGGGAAGGUGUGAGCUGAAGGCCACCACUUCUGAAAACAAACAUAUUUUAAAUUCCUUAGAGCUUGCAUGUACGUAUGUAUUUGUGUGUGUGUGUGUAUUUCUCUGUCUCCCUAGCUAUUUAUCAUGUCCGGUUGGACACAUUGUGCGAGCCCAGCUGCUCUUAUCUGGCAUGGGGUAGCAUAUUAAAAGGAAGAUUAAGAUUA